AUACGGAGGGAGCAAGCGUUGUUCGGAAUCACUGGGCGUAAAGCGAGUGUAGGUUGUCAGGUAAGUAGGAUGCGAAAGCCCGGGGCUCAACCCCGGAAUUGCAUUCUAAACUGCCUGGCUAGAGUCCCGGAGAGGGAGGUGGAAUUCCGAGUGUAGAGGUGAAAUUCGUAGAUAUUCGGAGGAACACCAGAGGCGAAGGCGACCUCCUGGACGGUGACUGACACUGAGACUCGAAAGCGUGGGGAGCAAGCAGGAUUAGAAACCCCAGUAGUCC
rnacentral:rRNA from 1 species